rnacentral:rRNA from 1 species
UACGGGGGGGGCAAGCGUUGUUCGGAAUUACUGGGCGUAAAGCGCGCGUAGGCGGCUUUGUAAGUUAGAGGUGAAAGCCCGGAGCUCAACUCCGGAACUGCCUUUAAAACUGCAUCGCUUGAAUCCAGGAGAGGUGAGUGGAAUUCCGAGUGUAGAGGUGAAAUUCGUAGAUAUUCGGAAGAACACCGGUGGCGAAGGCGGCUCACUGGACUGGUAUUGACGCUGAGGUGCGAAAGCGUGGGGAGCAAACAGG